rnacentral:rRNA from 1 species
AUGUCUGGGAAACUGCCUGAUGGAGGGGGAUAACUACUGGAAACGGUAGCUAAUACCGCAUAAUGUCGCAAGACCAAAGUGGGGGACCUUCGGGCCUCAUGCCAUCAGAUGUGCCCAGAUGGGAUUAGCUAGUAGGUGGGGUAACGGCUCACCUAGGCGACGAUCCCUAGCUGGUCUGAGAGGAUGACCAGCCACACUGGAACUGAGACACGGUCCAGACUCCUACGGGAGGCAGCAGUGGGGAAUAUUGCACAAUGGGCGCAAGCCUGAUGCAGCCAUGCCGCGUGUGUGAAGAAGGCCUUCGGGUUGUAAAGCACUUUCAGCGGGGAGGAAGGCGUUAAGGUUAAUAACCUUGGCGAUUGACGUUACCCGCAGAAGAAGCACCGGCUAACUCCGUGCCAGCAGCCGCGGUAAUACGGAGGGUGCAAGCGUUAAUCGGAAUUACUGGGCGUAAAGCGCACGCAGGCGGUCUGUCAAGUCGGAUGUGAAAUCCCCGGGCU